GCUCCGGAAUGUGACGUCACGUCACUACAUUUAGCCAGACAGUAAAAAAGCUAGUAAAGAUAAUGAGGAAGUGUGUUGCAUAAGGCUGUUCUGUUCCAAUGACGACGGAGUCAGCUUACAUGAAUGGCCGAAAGAUGAACAGGUAGGCAGGUUAUGGACCAGGUAUGUGAAGACAAAGCGGGCAUAUUUAACUUACAAAUCAAAGUGGACAGUACUAUGUUCCAAGCAUUUCACGGAGGACUGCUUUGAAAACCCGGUACAGCUUUCACUUGGCUUCAGUAGCAAAAGGCCAAUGUUACUCCCUCGUGCCUGUCCAACUAUCCACUCGUGCCUUUCACCAGACAAAGAGAAUUGUAACCCAAAAAGGCAUGUGGAACCCUUGUUAGAAGAGCGCUGGACCCUGUAUCUAGAUGAUUACCCAACGACUUCCUCUGCUGAUGCCCAAGCACCACCAUCUCUCAGCAGGCAGUACACAAAACCAACGAAAGACAUGGCUAUUCCAGAUCAUUUUUCAUGAUUGUCAACUGUUUAAAUGAUGUUGUGAAAAUUAAAAAAAAAAAUACGAAUUUGAAGAAGCCGAUUUAAAAACCGUGUCC